ACGAUUUUUGCACAUUUAUAUAUAACGUGUUAUCUAUACACCUAUUUACGUCAACUGUUUUUAAUAUUCCUGGGAUUUUUUUAUCUGGGAAAGUGCACUUUAAAUAAUCCAUAAUUAAUGUUGCCGGUUGUCAAUUGUUAUUCUACUUAUAAAUAGUUUAAUUUUUUCAUUUAGCAAUCGUGAAUCAGUUUUCUGAGAAGAAAUAGCGAGAAAACUUAUUAUAAAUUUUUGUUCUCUUGAGUUUGUUCUCUCUGUUUUCAAAUUUUAUUUCAGAUGUGCAAUUUUUACCUCAUCACCGUGUUACUUACCCUAACCAUAUCACCGACUUUAGCACUUCCACCUAUAAGAUGCUUAUUUAUUUGCCCUCCCGAUUCUUGUCUAAUACCUGUCUGUCCUGAUGGGACGGUUUUAGGACGGCAAUAUGUUUGUCAAUGUUGCCUUACUUGUAUAAUACCCGAAGGAGGCAGUUGCCCAUUGGAAGAUUUCUCUUGUGAACUCGGUUUGGAUUGCUGCGAGGGAAAAUGUGUUAAUGGAACAAUAUGCGCUUCUGAUUAACUUGAUAUAUAUAAAUUAAUAAAUAUGAUUAUGCACUAA